rnacentral:rRNA from 1 species
UACGGAGGGUGGGCAAGCGUUAUCCGGAUUCACUGGGUUUAAAGGGUGCGUAGGCGGAUUCUUAAGUUCCGUGGUGAAAUCUCCAAGCUUAACUUGGAAAACUGCCAUGGAUACUAUUAGUCUUGAAUGUUGUUGGAGGUUAGCGGAAUAUGUCAUGUAGCGGUGGAAAUGCAUAGAUGAUGACAUAGAACAACCAAUUGCGAAGGCACUGGCUAGCAC